UCAGCCCUAACACAUGCAAGUCGAGCGGGGUUUUCGGACAUAAAGGCGGACGGGUGAGUAAUGCGUAGGAAGCUACCCGAUAGAGGGGGAUACCAGUUGGAAACGACUGUUAAUACCGCAUAAUGUCUACGGACCAAAGUGUGGGACCUUCGGGCCACAUGCUAUCGGAUGCGCGCUACGUGGGAUUAGCUAGUUGGUGAGGGAAGGGCUCACCAAGGCGACGAUCCCUAGCUGGUUUGAGAGGAUGAUCAGCCGCACUGGGGGUGGGACGCGGUCCAGACUCCUACGGGAGGCAGCAGUGGGGAAUAUUGGACAAUGGGCGCA
rnacentral:rRNA from 1 species